UGCACUUCUGUGUGUUUCUGUUUAAUUGUGGACAAAGACUAAAAGUAGGUGUAAAAGCUAAAUCCUCUUUUGCAUGUCAGAACUCAUUAUUGUUCAGUAUGUUUUGAAACAAAUAAAAAGUGAUAUA